CCAGACUCCUACGGGAGGCAGCAGUGAGGAAUAUUGGACAAUGGUCGGAAGACUGAUCCAGCCAUGCCGCGUGCAGGAUGACGGCCUUAUGGGUUGUAAACUGCUUUUGUAAGGGAAGAAUAAGAGCUACGCGUAGUUUGAUGACGGUACCUUACGAAUAAGCAUCGGCUAACUCCGUGCCAGCAGCCGCGGUAAUACGGAGGAUGCGAGCGUUAUCCGGAAUCAUUGGGUUUAAAGGGUCCGUAGGCGGGCUAAUAAGUCAGGGGUGAAAUCGUUCAGCUCAACUGAGCAACUGCCUUUGAAACUGUUAGUCUUGAAUAGUUGUGAAGUAGUUGGAAUGUGUAGUGUAGCGGUGAAAUGCUUAGAGAUUACACAGAACACCGAUAGCGAAGGCAUAUUACUAACAAUUGAUUGACGCUGAUGGACGAAAGCGUGGGGAGCGAACAGGAUUAGAUACCCUGGUAGUCCACGCUGUAAACGAUGGAUACUAGCUGUUUGGACGCGAGUUUGAGUGGCUAAGCGAAAGUGAUAAGUAUCCCACCUGGGGAGUACGUUCGCAAGAAUGAAACUCAAAGGAAUUGACGGGGGCCCGCACAAG
rnacentral:rRNA from 1 species